rnacentral:RNase_P_RNA from 1 species
GGGAGUAGGAGGAUCGCUGACAGAGUUCGACUCUGAGGAAAGUCCCCUCUCCGUAGUGCAAGCGGCUGACAGAAGGAAGCAAACAGAAAUGGUUGGGUUAAUGCUGCAGAAACGAACGAUGCAAGGUGUGUACGAUGACGUUGAAAGACCGAGAUUGCCUUGUUGUCGAUGAGACGAGCAACCCCGCUGGAGCAAGUCCAAACCGUUCCGUUAACUCGGCACGACGAGGAACAGGUAGGACGCACAGUUGAAUGCGAUCACCGAAAGGGAACAGAAAGGGGCUUACUCCCUACUCCC